rnacentral:tRNA from 1 species
GGCUCAGUGGCGCAAUGGUUGACGCGCUAGAUUUAGGUUCUAGUUUCUUCGGAUGUGUGGGUUCGAGUCCCACCUGGGCUAC